UUUUAUCGAACAACUUGUGCGCACUGUUCUAAGCUACCAAUUUCAUGGCUAUUUGUAUAAAUAAAAACAUCAUAAUUAUAAUUAAGCAUACAUUCUCAAGGAUACGGAACCAUGCAAACUAAUAAUUUUAACAUACAUAUGAAAUUAUAUGAAAUCAUGACAAAAAAAAAAGCAUCCAAGUAUUACUACAUCUGCACAGAAAAUUUUAUAUUAAAGUAAACAAAUAAACAAUCAAAGAAAAGAAGAAUAGAAGCCAAGUCCAAAAAUGUAUAAACUAAACAGAACAAGAACAGAAAAUCCAGCCUCAACUCAAGAAGAUUUAGUAUUUUCAAGACAUUUGAACAAGAAAAAAGAAAUAGGUAACAUUUGAACAGGAAAAAAGAAACAAAGAGAGAGAACCUGAAAAGAAAAUCUGUGCAGAGUCGGAGAAGAAGAAGCUCCUCGCCGGACUGUCGGAGCUCCUCGUUUGCGGCGGCCCCCCGCCCCCACCCCUACCCCCACCCCUACCCCUAUUUCCGCCUGAACCGACUCCCUAUCGGGGGCAGAUGCCCUCCCCGCCCCCUAGUUCCGUCGCUGCCCGCCUCCUUCCUAAUUCCGCUCACCGUCUGACCGACGACCGCUUCUUUACUGAUGUUCGGCUAUCGGAGGUAACUGCCCCCACCUGCCCCCGUUGAUUCCGCCUCUGAUUGUACACCAUCUCCUUUCUUUCGUUUUAAAUCUUUUCUUUCAUUUUUUUAAAACAUAAU
rnacentral:lncRNA from 1 species